rnacentral:rRNA from 1 species
UCAGCAGUCAAGAAUAUUAGUCAAUGCUCGCAAGAGUGAACUAGCUAACUGAAAUCACAUGACUCACUAUGUUGGUGAUUGUGAUAACGUAAGGGAAAAAAAUGAUAUUACCUUACUAUUAGUGUUGUCCAAAACUGGUGCCAGAAGACUCGGUAAGGCCAGAGACGCAAACGUUAGUCGUCCUAAUCAGGCGUAAAGGGUAUGUAGGCUGCUUUAAAAAUUUUAUCUUUAUAAUAGCUCUGUAAUCAUAUAAUUUAUUAUAUGUCUCAGUUAAAGAUAAGAUCAAUUAAAGCUAGGAUCAAAUUGAGGAUAAACCAAAUAAUACUUAGUGUAGGGUUGAUAUCUAUAGAUACUAAGGGGAAUACUAAAGGUGAAAGCUUUUUAUCUACUAAUGAUUGACGCUGAGAAACGAAGGUGAGAAUAGGAAAUAGGAUUAGAUACCCAGAUACCUCUCACUGUCAACGAUGAAUGGUGGUUGUUAGUUUUUAAAAAAACUGGUAACGAUGUUAACACGAUAACCAUUCCGCCUUGCGAGUACGGUUGCAAAACUGAAACCAAAAAAAUUAGUCGGUCUCGAAGCAAACGAAGUGAAGCAUGUUAUUUAAUUCGAUUAAUCCGCA